GCAGGAUGCAGGGGUGUGCACCUGUAGUCCCAGCUACUCAGGAGACUGAGGCAGGAGGAUCACUUGAACCCUGAACUUCUAUUCUGUAGUGCGUUGUGCUGAUUGGGGUGUCUACACCAAGUUUGGUAUCAACCUGGUGACCUCCCAGGAGCAGGGGACCAGCAGGUUGCCCUAAGGAGGGGUGAACCUGCCCAGGUCAGAAACGGAGCUGGUCAAAAUCCCUGUGCUGAUCAGUAGUGGGAUUAUACCUGUGAACAGCCACUACACUCCAGCCUGGGCAACAUAGUGAGACUUCCAUCUCU
rnacentral:SRP_RNA from 1 species